ACUUCACCAUCCUUUCUUCUACUUUUCCACCUUCUCACAUCCUCUUCCCUAUAGUUUCUACUUCCUCUUGCAUAUGUCUCAUCCGUCUCUCACUUUUCUUCUUUCUAUCUGCUUCCUUACUUUAGUCAUCUUCUUGGCAGAAGUUCUUGAAUAGCUCUCUCCUUCUUCCUUCUCCAUCUCCUUAUUCAUUCUUAUUAUUGAGUUUCAGAUAGGUUUCAUUUUGAUUUUUAUUUGGUUUUUGUUGUUUCAGGUUUGGUGGUGUUGACUCACGCGAAAGGGAUAAGCUUCGCUGACGGUACGGUUAUCUGAACAGAUCUACGAAAUUAUGGCGGUGGCUAUGGCGUUUCCGGCGGUAGGCGGUUUGAUAGUGAUAAACUAUAGUAGCGGCAACACAUUUUUUGACGGCGGGUGUGGUGGUUGGAUUCGAAAUGAUUUUUGUGUGACUUUUUGGUCAGAUCUGUCAUGAGGUUUGAAGGCUUACUUUCCCUCAAUUUGUGUCUGCAGCGCUGUUACCGGCAUGGAAAACUUGCAAUUUUUCUGUGAGAAGUUUUAAUCUUAUAUUGAUUCCAGUAAGUCGACAGUCAAGUUAAAAAUUCACUAUGAAGAUUUGGUUCAUGAUGUAUUCGAAAUUGAUUCAGUUUGAAGCAUAAACAUGGCGGUUGAACGAGACUAAUAAAAGAACAGCAUGGACUGGAGAAUAACAUAGGUUUUGGAAAUCGACGCAUGCAGGUUCUGGAAAUCUGGAAAUCGACUGGAUCCUAUCACAACUCAUUGAACUGAUGUAGCUUCAUUGAACAGCCUGCUACUCUGGAAUUUGCGAGUUCGCUACGAGCUUAUGGAAGUUGUAUCUUGAUGACAGUCUUCACUAGAGUUUGAUGUAUCUUGAUGACAGUCUUCAAUGGCUAAUUGUGAUUAGUUUCUAAACAUUCAAUUUGUAUUUCAGACCCGUGGAAUACUAAAGUUGUUGCAUGCUUUCUAAAGUUGUGACAGUGAAGAAAGUCCAUUGAUACGUGUAACAAAGUAUGCUUGAUGGCCUUAGAAUUCUUAAAGAAAGGCUAAAUGUAAGUUGACAGUUGUGCUCUUUCCAUAUGCAGGAACAUUUUAUGGUGGUUAUGCGGAUUGGUUUGCAGAAUUUUGUGGGAAGUGGCGGUUCGAGUCGGUGAUGCAGUCUGUUAUAACAAGCUGAAGUUGAGGACUUGCAAAUACGAUGGAAUCUUGUGGUGAACAAGUUGGAGUUGAAGUUGGAGUUGAAGUUAAUGGAAUCUGGUGUUGAGGUAAUGGCAUGAAGGAAACAAGUUUGGGACUUCAUUGAUUUUGUGGGAAGAUGGACAUCCAAAAAAGCUGUUGUUUCGCAAGUUCCUUUGACGACAAACAAAUGAAUAGUUUAUAGCCAUAGUGGCUGCAGCAAGCAUGGCAUUUACUUCGUGGCGUAAUACUCCGAUCACGAAACACCAACGUCUUAUUUUGAAAGUUCCAGGAGCUUAUACAUUGAGACAAGAUUAGCAGUUAGCACUUUAAAGUUUUCUAUGCAUUUGACACCAUAUGACGGAUUUUAUUAACUUUUCAAAAUGCUAUAAAUAAUUUGAAAUUGCUUCAGGAUAAA